UGUUGAUUAUUGAUGCUUUGCAGAGUGGUGGAAAUUUAAUUUGGAACUGAUAAACAUGAAUGGCUUACAAAGAAGUUUCGCGAAUGAAAAGGGCAAAGGUUUACUGGACUUCUUCAUUAAGGUCUAACAAGAAAGUAUCACCUCAAUCGGAUUUUCUCCCAUCACGUUCGAACAGCAUAUAUCUAUUGGAUUUGGGAUCUGCUUAUUGUGCGGAGUGGGACCAAGGUUAACCCACGAGGUGUUUGAGUCAUCGGCGUUUAUUUUGUUUUUGUUAGUUAGGGGUAGC